CUCUGGGUCUUGUUGUUUCUGUCUGCUCUUUUAUGUUUAGAUAAUAAUUAUAUACCUGUCUUUUAUACCUAUAUACCAUUCUUGUGUGUGUUCUAUAAAAAAUAUAGGACUCAAGAUAAGACCCAGAUACAGACAUUUCGAAUCACAUGUUUAUUUACAAAACAGGCGGCAGCCAAACGACAGGUAGGCAGAGGUUGGUAAUCCAGGACAGAGUACGUAAAGUACAAAACGGCAGGCACGCUCAGGGUCAGGGCAGGCAGAGGUCAGUAAUCCAGGGCAGUGUUAGAAAGGUAUAAAACGGCAGGCACGCUCAGGGUAAGGGCAGGCAGAGGUCAGUAAUCCAGGGCAGUGUUAGAAAGGUACAGAACGGCAGGCAGGCUCAGGGUCAGAGCAGGCAGAGGUCAGUAAUCCAGGGCAGUGUUAGAAAGGUACAGAACGGCAGGCAGGCUCAGGGUCAGAGCAGGCAGAGGUCAGUAAUCCAGGGCAGUGUUAGAAAGGUAUAAAACGGCAGGCACGCUCAGGGUCAGAGCAGGCAGAGGUCAGUAAUCCAGGGCAGUGUUAGAAAGGUACAGAACGGCAGGCAGGCUCAGGGUCAGAGCAGGCAGAGGUCAGUAAUCCAGGGCAGUGUUAGAAAGGUACAGAACGGCAGGCAGGCGCAGGGUCAGGGCAGGCAGAGGUCAGUAAUCCAGGGCAGUGUUAGAAAGGUACAGAACGGCAGGCACGCUCAGGGUCAGAGCAGGCAGAGGUCAGUAAUCCAGGGCAGUGUUAGAAAGGUACAGAACGGCAGGCAGGCGCAGGGUCAGAGCAGGCAGAGGUCAGUAAUCCAGGGCAGUGUUAGAAAGGUACAGAACGGCAGGCAGGCUCAGGGUCAGGGCAGGCAGAGGUC
rnacentral:lncRNA from 1 species